rnacentral:lncRNA from 10 species
GGCGACCAUCUCUUCGGAAGCCUAACGAUCCAGCACAGCAAAUCCUGGUUGGUCAUGGUGGAGACUGUAAAGCAAUCAUUCUCAAGGAGGGGCUUUUUCACGCAGUAUGCCUGGAGAGAGGCUGCACCACCACCGCGUUCCUCCCCGAUGAGUCCAGUGAGCCACGGCUGCGGGCUACGGUGUUGUGGUGCUCGGGUGUGUUGGAAGGAAAUGGUUCCCGAGGCAUGCCAGCUAGCACCUGACCUACAAGAUUCCAGCUGUUUAACUGCCAUCACAAAGGCUCAUGAUGUGUUGACAGUAUUUCUGCCUGCUGCUCUGAAAAUUCAAGGAAAUAAAUACCUGACAUUUAUUGAAUGCCAGAAGCUGUUCUAAGAACUUUCUAUGUAUUAUCUAUUUUAGUCAUUAUAAUAUCCUUAUGAAAUAGGCACUUUUAUCCCCAUUUUACAGAUGAAUAAAAUAAGGCACAGAAGGGUUAAGCAACUUUCACAGGUAGAAAGCUGCACAGCCAGGAUUUAAGCCCAAGCUCUUAACCACUGCACUACAUCAAUGCAGCAAAGGCUGAAUGAACCAGAGUAUUUGAUUUACUUAGCUCUUAUGCUGGAAAGAUGGUGAGGCUUUUGCUCAUGGUCUGUAUUCAAGCACAAAUACCAAAAUCAAGGACACCUUUGCAUUGGUGCUCCAUAGGAGGUUUCCUUUUUUGUUGUUUAGAGAGAAGGUCUUACUCUGUUGCCCUGGCUGGAGUGCAGUGGUGCGAUCACAGCUCACUGCAGCCUUGACCUCCAGAGCUCAAGCAAUCCUCCACCUCAGCCUCCUGAGUAGCUGGGACUAUAGGUGCGCACUUCCACACCCAGCUAAUUUUUAAUUUUUUUUUUUUUGCCACUUCACAAAUAUUUUAUCAAAAAACUCACCUGAGAAAACUCAAAGAAUCACAGUAAUAAGCUGUCUAUGCCAUAUUUUUUUUUUCCUUUUUUGAAAAUGCCAAGAAGCUACUACUAAGAAUGUAUUCAAGAGACGGAAGUUCCAAGAUUCAUCACAGGGUCAGGUGGGCUCAACUUAGUUUCCUGGGCCCUCUAUAACACUUCAUGUUCAGAAUUGUCUCCAAAUAAAAGCAAUUUAAGGGAACAUUCAAUAUGGGUGUCUUUGCUGUGCUUGCAGUCUUAAUUCUGUGGACACUGAUAUUCUAUCAAUGGAAAAUUGAGCCUUUAGUGAACUUGAAUACCCUGUUCCCCAAUCACUGCCCAGAGAGCAGUUUCUGAGCAGCCAACAUGUCAGAGGCAGGAAAACAGCAGCUAAAAGGCAAAGGAGAAAAAUGGAAGACACCUGCCUUUACACGUGUAUUUUAAGCUAAAUAACCAUGAUAAAAUAUCACCAACACCCAUUUUUUGUAACUUCUUAAUUGUCCCACAUCAAAGAUAAGUAUGGACAACUGUAAUUGGUUCUUAUAUAUCCCUAAAUUCCUAAUUGAAAUCAAUUCCAAUAAAUCGUUGGUGCUCAGUAGAAAAAUGCAAAAUUUAAAUAUAUAUAUUCAGUAGAAGUUACCUUCAUAACUUGUGGGGCAUUAUCAAAAUAUAAUUGGAAACCCCUCUUUGUAACCAACUAACCAAAUGAUCUUUUCUUAAAGGCACAAAUUAAAAGGUGGCAAAACAACCAUAUAUUUAGUGUGUGGGAUCACAUUCUCCUAAAGAGCAUCAGGAAAUGUAGGUAGAAGUCAAUGUUGUAGCCUAGGUUAGAAGGCCCUGCUUGCUGGGAGUUAACUCUGGUUAUUGGAUUGUGGGGAGGUGUGGCAGGGAAGGUGGUCAGGGGAACACGGGCACUCCAGAAGCUCGGAGCAGCAGCUCAUCAGCUGUGAGGCACCGUCAGCAUCCUUGCGUCCUGUGUGGCUGUGAGGCACCGUCAGCAUCCUCGCGUCCUGUGUGGCUGUGAGGCACUGUCAGCAUCCUCGCGUCCUGUGUGGCUGUGAGGCACCGUCAGCAUCCUCGCGUCCUGUGUGGCUGUGAGGCACCGUCAGCAUCCUCGGUCCUGUGCGGCUGUGAGGCACUGUCAGCAUCCUCGCAUCCUGUGCAGCUGGGCCAGGACAAACUGGCUGAACUGCAGCUCUGCUUGCAGCUUGCUAGAAAUACAACUUGGUAACAACAGGAGAUUGUGGACACACUAUUUUUCGUUAGUUUAUUACAAAACUACAGAUACAAUACACAAAAUUCUAAUUCCGAAAUCCUUCUACAUUUUUU